rnacentral:ncRNA from 1 species
CAGCGCUCAGGUAGCUGUUAAGCUUGGGGCGGUAGCGUG